GACGAACGCUGGCGGCGUGCUUAACACAUGCAAGUCGAGCGGUAAGGCCCUUUCGGGGGUACACGAGCGGCGAACGGGUGAGUAACACGUGGGUGACCUGCCCUUACGCUCUGGGAUAAGCCUGGGAAACUGGGUCUAAUACCGGAUAUGACUCCAUGACGCAUGUUGUGGGGUGGAAAGCCUUGUGCGGCUAGGGAUGGGCCUGCGGCCUAUCAGCUUGUUGGUGGGGUGAUGGCCUACCAAGGCGACGACGGGUAGCCGGCCUGAGAGGGCGACCGGCCACACUGGGACUGAGACACGGCCCAGACUCCUACGGGAGGCAGCAGUGGGGAAUCUUGCGCAAUGGGCGAAAGCCUGACGCAGCGACGCCGCGUGGGGAUGACGGCCU
rnacentral:rRNA from 1 species